rnacentral:lncRNA from 10 species
AAGAGCUGGGCUGUAACACAAUAGGGAGUGCAUUCCCCAGUGUAUUCCCCCGUGUGGUCACAGGGAAUGAGCCUGGAGCAAGGGAGCCCAGCAGGCUGAGAAUCUGCAGUGUGCUGGGCCUGGGCUUGGCAUGAAGGCACGAGAUGUCGGAGGCGUGGCUGCCACCCAGGAGGACACACCUGAUGGGGCUCCAGGAACAGGACAAUGGUGGAGACGUCACAUCCAGAAUAACUUUGUUAGGAGACUGAACUUGACAGUCAGGAGUUUUACAUUGCAGGUUAAAAGUCUUCAGUUCCAGUUCAUUUUCAAUUCCUGAAUAAAGGGAUGAGUCUUGGAGCUUCUGGAAGCUGGCCUGGAACUGAGCACUUGCUGCAGACAAUGCCUGAAGUGCAAACCCAAAGGAAUAAGGAAAAAACAGAAAUUUUCACACCAAAGACCCUGUGUUGGGCUCGGAAGAACUGGUGGCUUAACUGAGGAGUCACGGAACACUGCUCUCGGAAACUGUUAGGGCAAUUGAAAAAAAAAAAAAAGAAUAAAGACAAUGAAGAGGCUUAAUUCUCCCUGUUAAAAACAAGGGAA